UAGGGAAUCUUCCACAAUGGACGCAAGUCUGAUGGAGCAACGCCGCGUGAGUGAAGAAGGUUUUCGGAUCGUAAAGCUCUGUUGUGGGUGAAGAAGGAUAGAGGCAGUAACUGGUCUGUAUUUGACGGUAAUCAACCAGAAAGUCACGGCUAACUACGUGCCAGCAGCCGCGGUAAUAAGUAGGUGGCAAGCGUUGUCCGGAUUUAGUGGGCGUAAAGCGAGCGCAGGCGGAAUGAUAAGUCUGAUGUGAAAGCCCACGGCUCAACCGUGGAACUGCAUCGGAAACUGUCAUUCUUGAGUGCAGAAGAGGAGAGUGGAAUUCCAUGUGUAGCGGUGGAAUGCGUAGAUAUAUGGAAGAACACCAGUGGCGAAGGCGGCUCUCUGGUCUGCAACUGACGCUGAGGCUCGAAAGCAUGGGUAGCGAACAGG
rnacentral:rRNA from 1 species